CUUAAAUAGCCUCUUGAUGCAUCAAAAUAAAUAUUAUUUAUUAAAAAAAAGACUAAAAUGAUUGGCUUAAAUAGUCUCUUGAGUACAAAAUAGAGACACAUAAUAAAUUAGUUUGAUCUUUGAUUAGACAUAGUUAGAUCGUCUAAUCCAGAUCAAACGAUUUACAUUUCAAGUAAUCUCAAUCAGACAACUUACAUCUCAAGUCAAUAAAUUGUGUAUAAAAUGAUACAUGGAAUAAAUAUAUUUGAUCAUUGAACGGACAUCCUGGAAUACAAAACUUAAAAAAUAUUAUAGAUUUUUCAAAAAUCCAAAUUUGAUAAAUCAUAAUUACUUUAAUAUAGAGAUGAUUUAACUUUCUACAUUAUUUUUAAUCAAAGAGGGGGAGAUAGAGUCAAUGACCAAAAGAAGAAAGUUAAGAAACUAUGGUUAGGAACUAAGGAAAUGAAAUAUGACACCCCAAAGUGGAAAUCUACAAGAAAAGAAUGUGAAGUGAAAGCUUUAUAUUAUGAAAGUUUAGUGGGUUAGGAAACAAAUAUUUG
rnacentral:lncRNA from 1 species